rnacentral:tRNA from 1 species
GGGCCCAUGGCGUAAUUGGUAGCGCGUGUGACUCCAGAUCACAAGGUUAUCCGUUCGAGUCGGGUUGGGCUCA